rnacentral:lncRNA from 1 species
CAGAAAGCGGGUGGACUGUACAAACAGUGUAGCAAACAUAAUUUUCAAGUCAAUUACUAUAAGGUUCUCUUUUUAUGUUCUUUUUAAGUAGAUGGAAUAUCUAGGCUCCACUUAUCUCUAAAUAAUAAAACUCUUUCACUCCUAGCAACCACUUCCUGGAAAACAACCUGACAAAAAGAUGAAAACAGUGAAAAGAGGUCUUUUGCACAUUUAACAAUGUCAUCAUGAGUGAAGUCUUGAGCCACUGAGCCACUACCACCUUGUGCCAAAUACUAUCUGUGCCCUGCCUGCCAACCAGGAUGACAACCCUUCACCUGCCAGGAG